CUGCAGUGAUGAUAAUAAGAACUCUCUCUUGCCGAAUCAGCUUUGAAGAAACUUCUUUACCAGAUUCUGAGCAGC